UACGAAGGGGACUAGCGUUGUUCGGAAUCACAGGGCGUAAAGCGCACGUAGGCGGAUGUGUCAGUCAGGGGUGAAAUCCCGGGGCUCAACCUCGGAACUGCCUUUGAUACAGCACGUCUCGAGUCCGGAAGAGGUGGGUGGAAUUCCUAGUGUAGAGGUGAAAUUCGUAGAUAUUAGGAAGAACACCGGUGGCGAAGGCGGCCCACUGGUCCGGUACUGACGCUGAGGUGCGAAGGCCAGGGGAGCAAACGGG
rnacentral:rRNA from 1 species